rnacentral:rRNA from 1 species
GCUANAAUCUCUACGGAGAAAAGCAGGGGAUCGCAAGACCUUGCGCUCUUGGAGCGGCCGAUGUCUGAUUAGCUAGUUGGUGAGGUAAAGGCUUACCAAGGCGACGAUCAGUAGCUGGUCUGAGAGGACGACCAGCCACACUGGGACUGAGACACGGCCCAGACUCCUACGGGAGGCAGCAGUGGGGAAUUUUGGGCAAUGGGGGAAACCCUGAUCCAGCCAUGCCGCGUGAGUGAAGAAGGCCUUCGGGUUGUAAAGCUCUUUCAGCCGGAACGAAACGGUCAUGGCUAAUACCUGUGACUACUGACGGUACCGGAAGAAGAAG